GACGUAGGGCGCGAGCGUUGUCCGGAUUUAUUGGGCGUAAAGAGCUCGUAGGCGGCUUGUCGCGUCGGGAGUGAAAACACCGGGCUUAACUCGGUGCUUGCUUUCGAUACGGGCAGACUAGAGGCAUGCAGGGGAGAACGGAAUUCCUGGUGUAGCGGUGAAAUGCGCAGAUAUCAGGAGGAACACCGGUGGCGAAGGCGGUUCUCUGGGCAUGUCCUGACGCUGAGGAGCGAAAGUGUGGGGAGCGAACAGG
rnacentral:rRNA from 1 species